rnacentral:lncRNA from 1 species
AGCCAGCUAAUUUGCUUCAUAAUAAACAUGAGCAACCGUAAAUGAAGCACAAGAUAUUCUCUGAGUCCCAUAAAUCUUUAAGAAGAGGGAUGUGCAUAUGAUGGUCAAAAUUAACAUCAGAUUACCAUAAAAUUACCGCAGCUGAAUCGCCUUCAACCCAAAUAUGAUUGGCUUUAAGAUCCUGACCUGCAACCUUUACUCCCAACCAGAGGCAAAUGGAGGACAAAG